CUGAGUUCUGAAAAAAACUCCCAACCCUUUGUGAACUUACCACUGUUGCCUCGGCGAGCCGCGCUACGAAAUAUAGCUACGAGAGUAGCUAUAUUGGCAGCGCAUUCUAGGCUCGCCAAAGGACCUACCAAACACUGUAUAUUUUUGUAUCUCUGAAUUUUAUUACGAUAAUACGUUA
rnacentral:misc_RNA from 1 species